CUGCACCGCGCAUUCGAAGCCCGCUACCGCUUUCAUUCGUGUCAGUCGCUAGUCGUGGUGGAGAGCAGCACGGAGACGCGCCAACGUCUAUAAACACUUGCACGCACAAACACUGGUCUCGAGUCGGGGUCGUCUGAGCGGCGUUACAUCGCCGAGGAGGCACCCUGCACACACACUCAAACGGAAGGGGCCUUGCAGCCAUACCCUUUCUCGCCGCGAUGCUGCGCUCUGGCCAAGCGCCUCGCGGUCCCCUGUCGGAGCGGUCUUCCAGCCGACAGCGGGGUUACUGUAAAGAGGAAGCCCACUGGGACGCGAAUAUAUGCGCGUCCCAGGUAGGGAACGAGACAUUGCUCUCGUUCCGGCCCUAAGGCGGCAGCGCACGGUGCGCUGUAGGGUCUUCCGAGCCGUCCGACUGUGGGGUACUGGUAACUCGCUGGGAGCUGGCGCCGUGUCGCCGCCGCCGUCCUCGUUUCUUCGAGCGAUAGAGUGGCGGUGCACACGCGGUGUCGGCGAUUCCGGUUUAAAGGAUUGCUCUGGUGGCGAGGAAUGGCGAUCGCAAGGUAGCCAUCUUCCCAGACCGGUCCGCCCCGUUUGCCUAUUCGACGUUGUCGUCGAGCGCCCAGUGCGGGCCAGUGGCUGCGCGCGCGCGCGCGUGUGUGCCGGACCUGCCUGCUGCAGCGGGAAGGACCGCAUGCGCG
rnacentral:misc_RNA from 1 species